UGGCUCAGUGGAUAGAGCGUUGGCCUGCAGAUCGAAGGGUCCCGGGUUCGAUUCCCGG
rfam:Myotis brandtii contig214556, whole genome shotgun sequence.